rnacentral:rRNA from 1 species
AGUGAACGCUGGCGGCAGGCCUAACACAUGCCAGUCGAGCGGCAGCGGGUCCUUCGGGAUGCCGGCGAGCGGCGGACGGGUGAGGAAUGCAUCGGAAUCUGCCCUGUCGUGGGGGAUAACCUAGGGAAACUUAGGCUAAUACCGCAUACGACCCACGGGUGAAAGCGGGGGAUCGCAAGACCUCGCGCGAUAGGAUGAGCCGAUGUCCGAUUAGCUAGUUGGCGGGGUAAAGGCCCACCAAGGCGACGAUCGGUAGCUGGUCUGAGAGGAUGAUCAGCCACACUGGGACUGAGACACGGCCCAGACUCCUACGGGAGGCAGCAGUGGGGAAUAUUGGACAAUGGGCGCAAGCCUGAUCCAGCCAUGCCGCGUGGGUGAAGAAGGCCUUCGGGUUGUAAAGCCCUUUUGUCCGGGAAGAAAUCGUCUGGGCUAAUACCCCGGGCGGAUGACGGUACCGGAAGAAUAAGCACCGGCUAACUUCGUG